GACGAACGCUGGCGGCGUGCUUAACACAUGCAAGUCGAACGAAGUGGCGAACGGGUGAGUAACGCGUAAUCAACCUGCCCUUCAGAGGGGGACAACAGUUGGAAACGACUGCUAAUACCGCAUACUGAAGGAGGGGAUUGCGUCUGAUUAGCUUGACGGCGGGGUAACGGCCCACCGUGGCUACGAUCGGUAGGGGUUCUGAGAGGAAGGUCCCCCACACUGGAACUGAGACACGGGCCAGACUCCUACGGGAGGCAGCAGUGAGGAAUCUUCCGCAAUGGACGAAAGUCUGACGGAGCAACGCCGCGUGAGUGAUGACGGCCUUCGGGUUGUAAAGCUCUGUUAAUCGGGACGCGGUACCGGAAUAGAAAGCCACGGCUAACUACGUGCCAGCAGCCGCGGUAAUUC
rnacentral:rRNA from 1 species